rnacentral:lncRNA from 1 species
UAAUAUUCUUUGUUACUCUAAUUGGACCACAGAUAGUUUAUUAUAGCAACCCACCCAAUACCACAUGCUGUGGGAUAAAGUAAGCUUGAUUGUAAUUUCCCAAGAAGUCAAUGGCUGCAGUAAAGCAAUAAAACUCCAAUGCCCAUUUUUUAAAAUGGCAGCAGGGUAUUUACAUAAUGCACACAAAGAGCAAAGCUCCAAACAGGAUGGGUGCUUUGUUGAGGGAAGCGUUUUCGACCUUAUCGGUGGGCCGGCUUCGGCUGCAGUGGGUGGGCCGAGCAGGGAGGGGCGGACCCCUACAAAAAUGAGCAACUCAGAACUGACGUCAUGGUGUGCAGGGACGAGCAUUAACACAUUGC